GACGAACGCUGGCGGCGUGCCUAAUACAUGCAAGUUGAGCGCUGAAGGUUGGUACUUGUACCAACUGGAUGAGCAGCGAACGGGUGAGUAACGCGUGGGGAAUCUGCCUUUGAGCGGGGGACAACAUUUGGAAACGAAUGCUAAUACCGCAUAAAAACUUUAAACACAAGUUUUAAGUUUGAAAGAUGCAAUUGCAUCACUCAAAGAUGAUCCCGUGUUGUAUUAGCUAGUUGGUGAGGUAAAGGCUCACCAAGGCGAUGAUACAUAGCCGACCUGAGAGGGUGAUCGGCCACAUUGGGACUGAGACACGGCCCAAACUCCUACGGGAGGCAGCAGUAGGGAAUCUUCGGCAAUGGACGAAAGUCUGACCGAGCAACGCCGCGUGAGUGAAGAAGGUUUUCGGAUCGUAAAACUCUGUUGGUAGAGAAGAACGUUGGUGAGGGUGGAAAGCUCAUCAAGUGACGGUAACUACCCAGAAAGGGACGGCUAACUACGUG
rnacentral:rRNA from 1 species